rnacentral:rRNA from 1 species
UGGGGAAUAUUGCACAAUGGGCGCAAGCCUGAUGCAGCGACGCCGCGUGGGGGAUGAAGGCCUUCGGGUUGUAAACUCCUUUCAACCAUGACGAAGCAUUAUGUGACGGUAGUGGUAGAAGAAGCACCGGCUAACUACGUGCCAGCAGCCGCGGUAAUACGUAGGGUGCGAGCGUUGUCCGGAAUUACUGGGCGUAAAGAGCUCGUAGGUGGUUUGUCGCGUCGUCUGUGAAAUUCCGGGGCUUAACUCCGGGCGUGCAGGCGAUACGGGCAUAACUUGAGUGCUGUAGGGGAGACUGGAAUUCCUGGUGUAGCGGUGAAAUGCGCAGAUAUCAGGAGGAACACCAAUGGCGAAGGCAGGUCUCUGGGCAGUAACUGACGCUGAGGAGCGAAAGCAUGGGUAGCGAACAGGAUUAGAUACCC